AAUCGAAACACCCCUUUUGGGGUGUCCCGUGGGAGUAGCCGUCCCACGGCUGAUGAGAUAGGCAAGC
rnacentral:hammerhead_ribozyme from 1 species